rnacentral:rRNA from 1 species
UACAGAGGGGGCAAGCGUUGUUCGGAAUUACUGGGCGUAAAGGGCGCGUAGGCGGCCUUCUAAGUCGAACGUGAAAUCCCCGGGCUCAACCCGGGAACUGCGUCCGAUACUGGAAGGCUUGAAUCCGGGAGAGGGAUGCGGAAUUCCAGGUGUAGCGGUGAAAUGCGUAGAUAUCGAGGGGAACACCUGCGGCGAAGGCGGGUAGCGUGGGCCGACACUGACGCUGAGGCGCG